GCCUCAGUAACGGCGAGUGAAGCGGCAACAGCUCAAAUUUGAAAUCUGGCACCCCUCCCGGGGGGGGCCCGAGUUGUAAUUUGCAGAGGAUGCCCUUGGCGAGGCGCCUUCCGAGUUCCCUGGAACGGGACGCCGCAGAGGGUGAGAGCCCCGUAGCGGUCGGUCGCCACAGCCUGUGUAGGGCUCCUUCGAAGAGUCGAGUAGUUUGGGAAUGCUGCUCAAAGCGGGAGGUAAAUCUCUUCUAAAGCUAAAUACCUGCCAGAGACCGAUAGCGCACAAGUAGCGUGAGCGAAAGAUGAAAAGCACUCUGGAGAGAGGGUCAAACAGUACGUGAAAUUGUUGAAAGGGAAGCGCUAGCGGCCAGACGUGGGCCGGCGGCUCCCCCGGCGUUCUUCGCCGGUCCGCUCCGCCCGGCCCAGGCCAGCAUCGGUUUCCGCGGGGGGAUAAGGGGUGGUGGGAACGUGGCUCCCCCUUCGGGGGGGGUGUUAUAGCCCGCCCCUCGAUGCCCCCGUGGGGACCGAGGAUGCCGCGCCCUCGUGCGAGGAUGCUGGCGUAAUGGCCGCUAACGACCCGUCUUGAAACACGGACCAAGGAGUCGUCCACUGGAGCGAGCGUUAGGGUGUAAAACCCGGUACGCGUAAUGAAAGUAACAGGUGAGAGCCUCGGCGCAUCAUCGACCGAUCCUGAAGUGCUCGGAUGGAUUUGAGUAGGAGUUCCAGCGGACGGACCCGAAAGACAGUGAACUAUGCCUGUAUAGGGUGAAGCCAGAGGAAACUCUGGUGGAGGCUCGCAGCGGUUCUGACGUGCAAAUCGAUCGUCAAAUAUGGGCAUGGGGGCGAAAGACUAAUCGAACUGUCUAGUAGCUGGUUACCGCCGAAGUUUCCCUCAGGAUAGCAGUGUUGUACUUCAGUUUUAUGAGGUAAAGCGAAUGAUUAGGGACUCGGGGGCGCUUAUUAGCCUUCAUCCAUUCUCAAACUUUAAAUAUGUAAGAAGCCCUUGUUGCUUAGGUGAACGUGGGCGUUCGAAUGAAACAACACUAGUGGGCCAUUUUUGGUAAGCAGAACUGGCGAUGCGGGAUGAACCGAACGCGGGGUUAAGGCGCCAGAGUGUACGCUCAUCAGACACCACAAAAGGCGUUAGCACAUCCAGACAGUAGGACGGUGGCCAUGGAAGUCGGAAUCCGCUAAGGACUGUGUAACAACUCACCUACCGAAUGUGCUAGCCCUGAAAAUGGAUGGCGCUCAAGCGUACCGCCCAUACCCCGCCCUCGGGGUAGCAACGAUGCCCCGAGGAGUAGGCGGCCGUGGGGGUCGGUGACGAAGCCCAGGGCGCGAGCCCGGA
rnacentral:rRNA from 1 species